rnacentral:rRNA from 1 species
CACGUAGGGGGCAAGCGUUGUCCGGAUUUAUUGGGCGUAAAGAGCUCGUAGGCGGCUCAGUAAGUCAGGUGUGAAACCUCCAGGCUCAACCUGGAGACGCCACCUGAUACUGCUGUGGCUAGAGUCCGGUAGGGGAGCGUGGAAUUCCUGGUGUAGCGGUGAAAUGCGCAGAUAUCAGGAGGAACACCAGCGGCGAAGGCGGCAUCCUGGACCAACACUGACACUGAGGAGCGAAAGCCAGGGGAGCAAACGGG